rnacentral:rRNA from 1 species
ACUCGAGUGGCGAACGGGUGAGUAACACGUGGGUGAUCUGCCCUGCACUUCGGGAUAAGCUUGGGAAACUGGGUCUAAUACCGGAUAGUAGCCAUCUUUAGUGUGGUGGUUGGAAAGUUUUUCGGUGUAGGAUGAGCUCGCGGCCUAUCAGCUUGUUGGUGGGGUAAUGGCCUACCAAGGCGGCGACGGGUAGCCGGCCUGAGAGGGUGUACGGCCACAUUGGGACUGAGAUACGGCCCAG